GAUGAACGCUGGCGGCGUGCUUAACACAUGCAAGUCGAACGAAGCACUUUUAUUUGAUUUCUUCGGAAUGAAGAUUUUAGUGACUGAGUGGCGGACGGGUGAGUAACGCGUGGGUAACCUGCAUCAUACAGGGGGAUAACAGUUAGAGAUGACUGCUAAUACCGCAUAAGACCACAGCACCGCAUGGUGCAGGGGUAAAAACUCCGGUGGUAUGAGAUGGACCCGCGUCUGAUUAGGUAGUUGGUGGGGUAACGGCCUACCAAGCCGACGAUCAGUAGCGGAGCUGGGAGGGUGACCGGCAACAUUGGGACUGGGACACGGCCCAAACUCCUACGGGAGGCAGCAGUGGUGAAUAUUGCACAGUGGGGGAAACCCGGAUGCAGCGACGCCGCGUGAGCGAUGAAGUAUUUCGGUAUGUAAAGCUCUAUCAGCAGGGAAGAAAAUGACGGUACCUGACUAAGAAGCACCGGCUAAAUACGUGCCAGCCGCCGCAGUAA
rnacentral:rRNA from 1 species